CAGAGGGUGCAAGCGUUAAUCGGAUUUACUGGGCGUAAAGCGUGAGUAGGUGGCUCGCUAAGUCGAUUGUGAAAGCCCUGGGCUCAACCUGGGAAUUGCAGUCGAUACUGGUGAGCUAGAGUUCGGUAGAGGGUGACGGGAAUUCCCGGUGUAGCGGUGAAAUGCGUAGAUAUCGGGAGGAACAUCGAUGGCGAAGGCAAUCACCUGGGCCUGAACUGACACUGAGACACGAAAGCGUGGGUAGCAAACAGGAUUAGAUACCCUGGUAGUCCACGCCGUAAACGAUGGGAACCUGACGUCGGUUUGCUCUGCGAAUCGGUGUCGUAGCUAACGCGCUAAGUUCCCCGCCUGGGGAGUACGGCCGCAAGGUUG
rnacentral:rRNA from 1 species